rnacentral:rRNA from 1 species
UGGUUGAUUACCGUCAAUAAAGACCAGUUACUGCCUCUAUCCUUCUUCACCAACAACAGAGCUUUACGAUCCGAAAACCUUCUUCACUCACGCGGCGUUGCUCCAUCAGACUUGCGUCCAUUGUGGAAGAUUCCCUACUGCUGCCUCCCGUAGGAGUAAGGGAAUCUUCCACAAUGGACGCAAGUCUGAUGGAGCAACGCCCCCGAAUUGAAAAAGGUUUUCGGAUCAAAAAGUUCUUUUUUUUGGUGAAAAAGGAUAGAGGCAUUAACUGGUCUUUAUUUGACGGUAAUCAACCAGAAGGUCCGGCCAAUCUCGCCCCCCGGUUAUAUAAA